CUGGAUUGCUUUUUGCAGUCGAGAGGAAAGUCCGGGCACCAUAGGGUAUGACGCCAGGUAACGCCUGGGAGGCGCGAGCCUACGGAAAGUGCAGCAGAAAAUAAACCGCCUGAUUAGGAUUUGUCCUAGUUCGGUAAGGGUGAAAUGGUGCGGUAAGAGCGCACCGCGCAAGCGGCAACGUGAGUGGGUUUCGCGCCUUCUUCAAAAG
rnacentral:RNase_P_RNA from 1 species